rnacentral:lncRNA from 1 species
UGUCAGAGUCAUAAUCAAUUUCACUUUUUAGAUCUAAAUAAAUCUCAAUUUAAUCUUUAUUUACGGAUCGUUGAACUUGUCAAAUGAGAUGAAUACUGUUUUUAUUACAACAGUUAUGAUCCGAUUCUCCUCCCAUCGCAAAUUGCUGUUUGUCUCGAAGAAUAAGGCGGAUACAUAGAAGUAUGAGUUAUAAUAUACGAUGGUACGUAUCUGAAUUUAUCUUGUACAUUUUCAUAAGAUUGUCUUCAAGUAGUGUCUAAAAUUUAACUUUUUUAUGUAUGCAACAUUUUAAAUUAAAAGAAUGCGUUUAUUCAUCGUCACUUUCUAGAUGCCAAAUAGAAAAUCGUCUCUUUAUUUUUUUGGAAAUCAGUACAAUUCUUGUUGUACCUCGUUUUAUUAUUUACUAGCAUUUUUCCCCGUGCGAUGCACGGUAUCGAAUUUUAAAAUUGAAAAAAAAUAAUCAAUUUAACAAAUUGAAUUUCUAUCUUUAUUUUUUAUGAUUUGGGAUAUAUUGAUGAAAAACAGGAGGUUGAAGUAUUUUUCACGAUUCAUCAGUUUGAUAAUUGUUGAAAAUAUAGUUAAAAUUAGUAAAAAAAAAAAAAAUUAAAAAUAACUAAUUACAGAAAUGUAAUUAGGGUUUUUUAGGGUUGCCCAGCGUUUCUUUCUUUUAUAUAUAAGAUAACUGUUAGCUGCCAUAAGUAAAAAUAACUAGUGCUGCUCGACUCAUUUGACGAAAUGAAUGUUAACGACUGGUUUUCAUUAUGAUCUAUAUACAUAUUCGUCCACAAUAAACACGUAUACCAAAACAAAUAUUAGAUGCAUGCUCUAAAGAAUUCUUAUUAUAAUUAUUAUAUAUAAUAAUGAUUUUUUGUAAUUGAUUAAUUGCUCCCUAUUGUAGAAUGCAUUGGUCACCAAUAAAUGCUGAUAAUAAAUGCUGAUUUUUGGAUUUUAGCUAUAAGAUUUUUGAUAUAUGGUGCCCAAUUUUAUGAAUUUUCAAGCAAUCGGAUUUGUAUGUUUCCAGUCAAGCAAAAGAAGGUCAAAAAAGGAAAAUGAAAAAUAGUAAUGAAGGAAAAAUAAUAUGUAAAAAGAAGAAUAAAUAAAUGGUAGAAUAUCUGGAUUUGUGAAGAAUUUUAUUACAACUUAUACGAGAAGUACUCGUAACGAUGUUGCAUGGGGUCUUGAAAUAGAAGAUGACAAAUAUGUACAUAAACACGCGCGUAAUUGUUUAGUAUUUAGGGUUUAGGGUUUUUGAUUCGUAAAAUAUAUGUAUGUACGUGUACAACUAUAUACGUACCGUACGAUAUGUAUAUGCGUAUACAUGCCUAAUUUAGCCAUCCCAAACUCCGUUUCCACAUUAUUCUCGAACAAGUUUGUCGAAAUUAAAAUGAAGCUUCAAUUAGAGUUCGUCUGCUUUUCAUCAUGUAAAAUAUUUUAAUUUUAUAUUAUUUGCCAACUUUUAUGUAUUUGUUAUUUUGUUUAUAAUUCAAAUAAUGUUUUAAAUGCUGUAGCUAGUCAUGGAAAUAAUUCAAAAACACACACGAAAUUAUUUACCAAAUUCAUCUUUUCAGAUUUCGUAAUAACUAUCUCUUGACUUUCCUCCCAUUUCAGUCUAGAUUUUGCAAAACCAUUCCUCGAUUCUAUUCUCGUAUUUGCUAAAUCUAUAAUUAAUUUCUUAUUAUGUUGUCAACCAAGACAAGAACUUCAUCUAUUUAACCUCGUUUUCAUUUCGAUUAUUUCUCACUCUCUCAACAUCUUCAAGCCCUUCAUUGCAUCUACGAUUUUUUUUUUCGUUUUUUUCGAAAUAUUUUGUAUAAAAUUUAAAAUGUCACAUGUACGUGGGAGUAAAAAAAAUCCAUCAGUGGACGAGCGCCCCGUAAUUUUGGCACUUGAAUAUCCAAAAUUCAAUGCAUCGAGCUCCGUUCGUCGACCUUCUAUACCUCGACCGAGGAUUCCUAAACACCCCAUUACUUCGUUCGCUGCCGAGCUUUCCCCUUUCAUUGUUACUAUAAAGACUGGAGAGGUUGCUUCCUUUAUUAAUUUUCUGUCUCCUUUUCGUGUUUUUUUUUAUAACAAAAACUCUCUGCAAAAGUUGGUUGAUUGCUCGCAAAUGAAUGUGGCCAAGACAAAGUUCAUGUUUAUUACCGUUUUCUACUAAAAUAUAAAAAUGAUUCGCUUUUUUUUUUUUUUUUUUUUUUUUUUUUUUUCUAUUUUUCAUUUUUCAUUUUUCAUUUUUGAUUUUUGAUUUUUGAUUUUUGCUUCUCUGUGUUGAUUUGAUUAUCUGGAUUGUGAGACCUUUCGAUUUUAUUUGAAUUGAAACUUGAAUGUUUUAUCUAACUUCUAUAGUAAUUGAAUAAAUAGGAGUCCUUUUCGAUACGGCUGCAUUUAUUUGAUUGUACGAUAUUUUGUCUGAAGAGAUCUAUCUUAUCAUAGUUAAAUCGACUAGACGUCACAAAUUAGGGAACAAAACCAAUAAAAGGUACAAAUACGUGACAGAUCGGAAGUUGGAAUUUGUUUUUCUAGGAUGCAAUAAAUAUUCGAAGUUAAGUUCCUUCCCUAAAGGACCAUAUAUGGUUGCAUGUUCACGUAAACACGUCCGACAAAAAUUUAAAACGACAUUCUUUAAAUGUCUAGGAUUUUGACGUCACGUCUUCGUAUAUUUUUUUAUUUUUAUUGAGUUAAUAAAUCUCUAUAUUCCGCCACAAUCUGAUAUUUUGAUCGGAUUUUAAAAUUAUGAUAAUUUCCUAAACGUGCAACUUUAGUGCAAUUUACACGAUAUCUUGUUUUAUUUUUAUUUUUUGAAUUUUUUUUUUUUUUUUUUUUUGUGGUUUUAGGACAUUGGGAGAAGGAUACGAGAUUCGUUCGAAGAGCGUAACGGUGGAGGUUUGUCAGUGGAAGGAUGUAUAUAUACUGUAUCAGGCGAUAUAUCGAAUCCUAGAAUACAUAUAAACGGCUCCUCACCAACUGUAUUUGAGGUAAUUCAUUCUUUCCUACCAUAUCUCUGUACAUAGUAGAGUCGAUCGUACGUAUUCGUUUCUUCCUGUAAUAGUUUUCCCGCUACAUAAUGUACGAAAUAAUAUAGCAGAACAUGAUUAACUUUAGCUAUUUAGCUUGAAGCAAUAAACAAUGCAGUGUAUUAGAUUUCGUCAUUUAGUGGGGAAUUCGUGCAGAUUUUAGUAACUUCUCUGUGCAGAUAAUUUUUAACCAAUUUAUCAUUUCUAAAAAAACAAUUAAAUUAUGUACCUUUUUUUUUUUUUUUUUGUGUACGAUAUAAUUAUCGAAAAAGGCAUGAAAAAUAUGUUAUCAUCUGUAUAAUACAUCAACUUACGAAGAACAAUUUAUUGUUAUACUUGCAGGGUAAUUUUUCCAUAGCGACCCUCACAGGCCGUUUCGUAAUAUCUAAUAACGGACCUGUACAGCUGGACUAUUUGAAGGUCAGCUUUCAACCACAGGAUGUGCUUGUCUGUGGUACUACGAUUGGGCCUUUGAUAGCUGGUUGUGCUGUUCAGGUUAGCUUUUUCUCGUACAAUAGUUCUUCGCGAUGUUCUUAAUUAGGAUAAAAUCAAACGAUUCGUCCUCCAUUUAGAAUAACGAAUUUUCACUAUGUAUUUAUUUUAUUUUUCAUUUCUUUUUGUCCGAAUAAUCGUCAUUUAGUGGGGAAAUUGUGCAAAUUUAGCAACAAUUCUGUGCAAUUAAUAUUUGUGCAUUUUAUGUGAGACCAAAUAAUCGUACAAUAGUUGUUAUUUAUGUUCGAACCGUAUUUUUAUUCAAUUUUUCUUGCUAGUUUUAGCCAUAUCUGAUCACUAAUUAUGUUACAGUAUAUUUUCUAUUAAUUGAGAAAAUAGAAGAAAAAAAAGAAUGCAUUAUCCAACAUUUAAAUGUCUUUCCAAAAGAUUUUUUUUUUUUUUUGUUUUCUCUCAUUUUUCUUUGAAAUAUAUUUAAUUCAAUUGAAGGUAUAACUAAAUGAGAAUUCGAUGCUAUGAUUUUGUUUUUGCGUAGCCGUAACCCAACUAAUGUUAAUUUUAAUGCAGGUCACUCUAGGUUAUGCCAGGUUGGAUAACGGAGAAACGAGCACCGCUCCUCUUCAGUCACCAUAGCGCACCUCUGAGGGCGUUGCCGUAAACGAAAAUGCCCUUGUAAUAAUUUGAAUUGAUUUGAAAUGUAAUCGAGGGUUUUAGAUUGGUUGGCUAUCUACAUUCGGGAUGCAGACUAUAUUCGUCUGGAUGACUAUUCGACAUAUUUUACUCCGACAUUUAUCCGUUUUAUAGAACAAUUAGUAGAUUGUGACAGCAUUACAUGAUUUCGAUUUCUUGACUCGUAAAUUUGGUUGAAGUCACAUGUGAUGCUGUGUUCAACAAACUGUAUACAUUACUAUACAUUACUAUACAUUACUAUAGUAACAUGUAGUUACAUAUGCGUAUAUUUGUGUGUUUUUUAUUUGUAUUUUAUUGGUUUUGAGAUGAUUUAUAAUAUAAAUAUUGAAAUUUGUAAAUUUUUGUUGUUUGGGUUUAUGAAUUUUUUUUUGUAUUAGCCAGUAUUCGUGUGUGUAUAUAAUUGAUCGACUAAAAAUAUGGGCUAAAAAAAAGAACAUAACUAUGAAUUACUAUAGGUACUACAUGUAGUUAUUUUCAGUACUGUAAACAUAUUGUUUUGAAAAUUAAAAAAAAAAAUUAAAAAAAAAUAAAAAAAAAAUAUAAUUUUUUUUAAUUAAAAAAAAUUUAAAAAAUUAAAAAAAUAAAUAUAUAUAUAUAUUUAACAAACAGAUUUAUAAAAAAAAAAAAGGAAAAUAAUAAUAAAUAAAUCAGCGAAAAUGAUAAAUGCAGGACCAUUAAUGCUGAAUGCAGUUUGGCCGAAAAUUGCACAAAAGGGUAGUAUAGUACUUUCGCUUCCCCAGGGGAAUUGUCAAAGGAUGAUUUGGGUUUGGGUUUAUCCCUAGUUUAUUUGGUGGCUAGGGGGUAUGUAAAAUAACUCCAUCGAACAAUUAGUGGAUUGUGAGUACAUUACAUGAUUUGACGGGAAAACGCUCGUGUGGAGCACGUGAGCAUGCUAAAAUAACUCCUUAAUUCUAUUUUUGAUCGAUCUAGCCUCAAAUUCCAUUUAUUCCUACAAUUUUGUCCAAAAAAAAAACAUAAAAUCUCUAUUAAAUCGAUGAAUGUGGAGCUCGAAUCGUGGUUAACUUCAAUAAAACUCGUUAGAUUGAAUUUCACUAGUUUUGCUUGACUUCAUUAACGGCUAAAAUAAGAAGCUUGGUAGUAUACGAGUGUCUUAGUAUAAAUAAUUAUAACGGAUUGUUUAUAGCACGUUUACACUCGUAAUUGGAGUAGUUUGAAAUCGACACAACCGUUUAAACUGCCUCAUCAUAGUAGAUGAGUUUAGGGUUGUGUGUUGGUUUGGUUGGUUAAAAACCAGCCAUAAAACCAACCCAACUCAUCCAAUCAACUUUGCUUAAUAUUAGAAAUCAUUAUCGACCCAAUUUAUAUAGAUUUACAGUUUAAAACCACAUGGUGUGUUUCACCUGGUGUAAGAUCUCUUCCAGCUAACAUUUCUUUCUCAGCAUUGCCAACUACCAAAAACGUUAACCGAUUUAAUAGAAACAAGUGCAACUCCCUCUUUUCUUCAAAACGACGCAGCUUCAAUACAAAAUUAAACCUAAAUUCCCAAAUCAAACAGCCCUAAUUCAUCACAAGAUUCAUAUCUCAAACUCAAUGCAAACAUUUAGAAAAUAAAAUGUAAUGAAUUCCCAAAGUUACGAAUGGGUCUUCAUCUCUAUCAUCGGACUCUGAGGUACGAAUUUCUGCUCUCCUCAUUCCCUCUCUCUCUCUACCAUUCAAAUCAAAGCGAAUUAAAAAUUCAAUUAUUUGCUGAUUUUUUUCUGUGUUUUCUUUUUCCCAGUUUCAUAUACAUAGGAAAAUGUAAUUCUUAAAUGCAAUGUAGAAAUACUAGAUACUACGAGCUGGUUUUGAGUUGCGAUUUUAAGAGUCAUUACAGAAAAUAUAAUUUAUUUUUUUCCUUUAUUCAAUGUUGAUAUCGAGGGUGCAUUUUGCCAAUCAAAUUUGCAAUUUAACGGUGCAAAGUGCCAAAUUUGCAAUUUAAGGGUGCAAAGUGCCAAUUACCCCAUUAGGUAUAUAGUAUAUACUGUGUACUUAGUGCGUACAUUUCGUUCAUGAAUUCAGUGUAGAUAAAAUCAUUGCUUAAUUUAUACUCUAAGAUUUAAUUACUUUUGCAAGAUUUAAUUUUUCGUUUUGAUUCUCAAUGCAAUAGGGAUGUUUAAGACAAUUUGUUCCGCAUUUGUACCUGAUUUCAGAUCCCGGAAUUUUGCAUGAGCGACGUUGUUAACUGCAACAAAAAUCUGCGUUCGGUGAAUUUAGUCAUUCCCAUUAGUUUCAGUGGACUUUAAUUGGGAAUAUUAAUCUUCCAAAUUUAGCUGAGAGGACUUUAAUCAAAGGACUUCCUAUAAACGAGGGAAAAUUAUUUUGUAACGUAAACUGAAUAAACAUAUCAAUUACCUCACCAUUAAAAACAAAAAAUAAAUAAAAAAUACUGUGCUUUAAAGAUGCUACAGUUGACAAUUCAUAUUGCUAUGGUUGACGACUAGAUUAAUUUAUAAAAAAAAAAAAAAAGAAUUUGUGCCAAUGAACACUUCAUUAUACAAUCGAUGGUAUAUAAAUUAUUAUUUGGGGUAAUAUCUAUGUGCAGAUCUUAUAUAAAUUCUAUGCUGAAUUAAGUCACCUUAUAUAUUGGAUAUGCUGAUUUCUUGUGCCGAUUGAAUGAUGAUAUAAAAGUCCGUUCUUUGUUUGAACGAGCACUAAGUUCCCUUCCACCCGAUGAAUCCGUUGGCGUACAUAAGUCUUCUAUUUAUUCACUCUGUUUUUGCUUUAGUUGCAAACGUUCUGCAGUUUACAUAUGUUGAAUUUUUUGAUAGCAUGUCAUUUGAUUUUCCGUUGUCGCAAAACAUAACUUCCAAAGGAAAGUGAUAACUGGUUAACUAUGAGCGUGAAACCGAAACAUGGUUAAUUAUAUAAAAUUUUACAUUAUACACUUUUAUUUGCAUGUAGCUUUAUUUUGUAUAUUUUGAAAACUUAAAUAGUUGAAUAGCUACGUGUUUUCAGAAUUAUAUACUAUUCGAAAAGAGGUGAAUUAUAUACUCUUACGUAACAUAAUUUUGAGCACGCUGUGGUUAAGUUUCGCUUUUAAUCUCUCCCUUUUUCUUUUUAUAAUUAUAUAUUGUUUCUAACCCGCUCUGUAUAACAUAUUAGAAUAUAAAACGUAGAUGAUUACUUUAUUGAACGGUUCCCCAUUAUUGUAUUGAGAUGACAAUACAGUUACGUAUUUCCGCGUUUAUUGUAUAUCAAAUUCACCUUUUAGUGUACCUACUUUCACUUAUUUCUAUAUAUGGUAGAUUUUGUUGACACAAUAUAAUAGAUAAUUUUGUAUACUGUUAAAACUUUAUCUUCCUUUUCUUUAUCUCCUUUUUUUUUUUUUUUUUUAUUUAUUUUUUACUUUGGAAUAUUUGAUUUACAUGCAGCACGUAUAAUCUGCACGAUCGAAAAAUUGUUUCUUCAUUUGUCAGAUUCAUAAACAAUUUCACUUUUUAGAUCUAAAUAAAUCUCAAUUAAAUAUUUAUUCACGGAUCGUCGAACUUGUCAAAUGAGAUGAAUACUGUUUUUAUUACGACAGUUAUGAUCCAAGGUGGAGGCGUACGUCUACACCAUAGUCCGAUUCUCCUCCAAUGGCAAAGUGAUGUUUGUCUCGAAGAAUAAGGCGGAUGCAUAGAAGUAUGAGUUAUAAUAUCCGAUGGUACGUAUCUGAAUUUAUCUUUUACAUUUCAUAAGAUUGUCUUCAUUCAUGUACUGUCUAACAGUUAACUUUUUAGACUAAAAGAAUGCGUUUAUUCAUCGUCACUUUCUAGAUGCCAAAUAGAAAAUCGUCUCUUUAUUUUUGUGGGAAUUAGUACAAUUCUUGUUGUAUGUUUUACCAACUCUAUUUUAAUACUUGCACCUCGGUUUAUUCUUUAUAACUGUUAGCUGCUGUAAGUUAAAAUAACUAGUGCUUCUCGACCCCGUUUGUAAGUUGUAAUGUUUAAGAGAUCACGGAUUUGAAUUUUAAUUCUCAUUGAGUAUGUCUUUAAUGUUGAGUUUUAUAAAUUUUUAUUUUAGUUUGUCAAUUUUCAGGGCUUAUUUGACAAAAACUUUGGGCCAUUUGAUGAACUGGUUUUCGUUAUGAUCUAUAUUCUUACACAAUAAACACGUAUACCAAAACAAAUCAUUAGAUGCAUG